GCGACCGUACUUCCCAGGCGGCAGACUUAACGGCUUCCCUGCGGCACAGCAUUGGCCAUAAACCAACGCUUCACCGAGUCUGCAUCGUUUACAGCUGGGACUACCCGGGUAUCUAAUCCGGUUUGCUCCCCCAGCUUUCAUCCCUCACUGUCGAACGUGUUCUGGCAGACCGCCUUCGCCACUGGUGGUCUUCAAAGGAUCAGAGGAUUUUACCCCUACCCCCCGAGUACCGUCUGCCUCUCCCAC
rnacentral:rRNA from 1 species